UGCUCUCGGAGUGCACUCAGGCGUUGGGCUCUCAAAACACAAAGUGAAUUCAGCACUUAAUCACAGUGUAGCACUCUGCUUACUUAUUAGCAAAACAGUUGAAAGGCAAAAGUGGUUCCGGUAAUAACAAAGACUUGUGCAGAUUUUACCACUGUCUAAAUGUAGCUUUCUCAAAGCUGCUUGAUCAGAACCCUUCUGCUUCACAGAACCCAAGUUUUAAAGGAAUCCAUGAAAGGAGGCAAGCAAAAUAGAUUUUGAGCCUCCUGGACUUUGCAAUGUUGCCACCCAACUCUUGAUACCAAUUGAUCCCAAGCCUAACUAUUGAUGAACACUCAGAAGCAGUGCAGAGGUUGCACCAUCCUUCAUGUGACAUCCAAAGAGAUGAGGGAGCACCAGGCGAGUCUCAAAGGUUCAGAGGAUUCAUUCUGCUAAGCCUCCAAAUGCAUGCAGCCCUGCAGAAAUACUCACUGGACUGUCUGAUCUACUCAAGACCUGACAGGAUUUAUUAUUUUAAAAGAUUCAGGACUUUUCACCCUACAAUUCUCACGUGAUGCUGCAAUCCAUGGGAAAAAGAAGAGGAAGACAAAUCUAGGAGUGAGAAUCAAGGGAAUUUAGGUAUACAAAAAAAACCAAAAAAACCCAAAAAAACAACAUAAAGAGGGAUUAAACCUGGCAAGAAACUAUGAAAACAAACUAUGAAACUACAGAAAGAAAGGACGGAUUCCCCCUGUUCAGAGCAGCUCUGGGUUGGAUGCUGUGCCUCAGGCAGACACAAACCUUGGGGCUCAAUGCAAAAUUAUCCAGCUUCCCCUCCAGACUUUCAGUCUAUGAUUCUGCCAUGUGCUCUUACAAAGGGGUCAAUGACACAAAUGAAUGAAGGCAAUGUUGUGCUCAAGCAAUAUUUUAACACACAGCCAGCCAAGAUUUAAAGUAGCAAACUGAACUGGGCAACCAAGGACUUCAAGUGAGUUUUCUGGGCAAGGCAGCUGUGCAAACAAGGGCUGACAAAAGAGUGCUUGAUCUGCAGCAGAUCCCAAGCACAGACUGGUCCCCUUUGCUUCCUGUGGAGACAUUGCAUGAGAGCAUUGAUAGGGGAAUUGUCAUUUUUCUCUGACAGCUACUGCUGAAACACAGAAACUCCCACUUCCAAAGAGGCUGAAACACACCCCCAAAACAAGAUCUGACACGACCAGGGGUGACAUUUGGCUCUGCUCACCAGUUUCCAUCAAACCAAAUGGGCUGUGCUGCAGCACUGGAGCGGUGAUAAGUACAUGGCAUGGCACCUCAGUGAUGCUAAAAUCCUCCCUUGCCACUGGCUGGCACAGAGGCACCAUGUCCUACUCACUUCCACCAGAAGUGCACAAGCCCCCAUAGGUCCAGAUCUAGGUCUAAUGGACAGUAUUCACUUCAAUGUUUGCCAAAAAAAUAUCUAAAAAUCAAUAUAUUCCAUGGGCUUUGGCAGGAGAUUGCUUUUAAGAAGCGAGGAAUUAAAAUUUGGAAGUUGAUGUACAAUAAGGGAAACCAAAUCCUUUAAUGCCUGAGCUUUCUGUACAUCUCUGCUGGCUCCUGACCAUCCCAGAGGCCAAAGAGCUGGCAUUAAACCUGCUGUGUGCUGCCAUGGAUCAUUAAUUAGAGGGGCUGCCCUCUGCACAGAUAAAAGCAGAGAACCCAGACUUUACUGUUGCUUUGGCUGCUGAUCUGCCAGGAGAGCACGUGAUGCACCCCAGCUACAAACCACAAUAGAAUCACUUACAUUAAUAUCUGUCAUAUUUAACACCAAAAACCAGGCUCAGUUAGAAGAAUACCAUACAAAAACCUUGGGCAAACACAAGAGCUGCUUAAGUAGGGCAGGUCCCCCCCACAACAACUCUUUCCAAGUCAGUGUUGCAUUUGCAAGACGUGACAUUUAAUGCUGCACCUCCACGAGCAGCACAUGUCAAGGGUAAAAUGCCACAAGAAAGCAGGAAUCAUUUUGCAAAAGCCAGAACUAACAAAGCAUGAGUCUGUAAGGAUUCGUGGCUUUGAGUAACCAAAUGUCUUUGAGAAUCAAUGUUCCAUUAUUCCCACACGUACCCUGGAGAGAGUUUUGCCAGCAGCAUGAGGGUUGAUGAGUUCACCAGCUGGCCAAGGGAAGUGUUUAAACCACAGUUUCUGCUGUGGAGGGCACUGCAAACUUACCUCUGCUCAGCUGUCUCAUUUGUUUGAAAUGAGUCAAUAAUUUCAACUGAUAGUAGGAUAGUCUCAUGUCACCACAUUUCUCUUCACAGAGAAAAGCAGGGCACAAUUCUUCCCAAGAAUAUUUCUAGGUUUCACAUUCUCUGAACCUCAGAGAAAGGAAAAACAAUUCUUAUCUCAUUUGCUGUGCCUGUGCUGUGCCAAAGUAGAGUAAAUAUGGAGCUUGUUUACCCAAA